rnacentral:tRNA from 1 species
UCCCUGGUGGUUCAGUGGGUUAAGGAUCUGGUAUUGUCGCCACUGUGGUGUGGGUUUGACCCCUGCCCAGGGAA